CUUUCUGUUGCCCGUGAUGUUGGUGGGCCCGCGCUCAUUUGGGGCUUGCAUCUUACCAAUGGUUGUUCUAGCAGUCCGGUCUUGCACCUUGCAGCUUGUGGGAUCUUAGUUCCCUGAGCACAGAUUUCUACUUAGGCAGCUGGAAGAUCAUUGGAUUUCUCCAGCCGGGUGCACUUGAGCGCUGGAGGAGAAGAGACGAGCUCUGGCCUCAUCUCAGCGGUAGCAGUGUGUUCCCGAAGCUGAACAAGCUCAGGCCAGCUUCCGUCCACCCUCAGACACCAGCACCAGGUGAGCGGCAUCCACCCCGAGGCACCUCCUUGGUUUUAAAGGGAAUUUCUGUCUAUUGAAAUGCAGUCUCAAACCUACAUUGUUUCAAAUCUUCUGUAAGGCUAUACAGUAAGUUUCAUUCUCCCUUGGUAUUUCACAUGGGCAAUGGUCAGUGGAAUGCCCCACAUGUCCACCAUUGGGCUAAAUAAAACAUUCCAGGCUAAGACCUGGGGUGGUUUCUUACUUCCAAAUUUAAAUCUUUGAAUUCUGACAUUCCUCAUUCCAAAUUCAGAAUUUAAGUUAUUUGGGUAUUAAAAAUGUAAAUUGUUUUGGCAGUGAUCAAUAUCAAUUAG
ensembl:lncRNA